UACGUAGGGGGCAAGCGUUGUCCGGAAUCAUUGGGCGUAAAGCGCACGUAGGCGGCCCGGUAAGUCCGUUGUGAAAGUCAGAGGCUCAACCUCUGGAGGCCAAUGGAUACUGCCGGGCUAGAGUCCGGAAGAGGCGAGUGGAAUUCCUGGUGUAGCGGUGGAAUGCGCAGAUAUCAGGAGGAACACCAAUGGCGAAGGCAGCUCGCUGGGACGGUACUGACGCUGAGGUGCGAAAGCGUGGGGAGCAAACAGG
rnacentral:rRNA from 1 species